ACCCGCUGAACUUAAGCAUAUCAAUAAGCGGAGGAAAAGAAACUAACAAGGAUUCCCCUAGUAACGGCGAGUGAACCGGGAAGAGCUCAAAUUUGAAAUCUGGCAGUCUUCGAUUGUCCGAGUUGUAAUCUAUAGAAGCGUUUUCCGUGCUGAACUGUGUAUAAGUCCCUUGGAACAGGGUAUCAAAGAGGGUGACAAUCCCGUACUUUACACAAUCAUCAGUGCUCUGUGAUACGUUCUCUACGAGUCGAGUUGUUUGGGAAUGCAGCUCAAAAUGGGUGGUAAAUUCCAUCUAAAGCUAAAUAUUGGCGAGAGACCGAUAGCGAACAAGUACCGUGAGGGAAAGAUGAAAAGCACUUUGGAAAGAGAGUUAAACAGUACGUGAAAUUGUUGAAAGGGAAACGAAAUUCAUGAAUCAUGUUUAUUGGACUCAGCCGUUCUUCGGUGUACUUCCUUUAAACGGGUCAACAUCAGUUUUGUCCGAUGGAUAAAGGUAGUAGGAAGGUGGCUCUCUCGGGAGUGUUAUAGCCUAUUGCUGCAUACAUUGGA
rnacentral:rRNA from 1 species